CCACGUUGGAAAAGUUAUUCACUUCAAAACGAACUUGAACAGCGUUUUGAGAACACGGGGUGUAGGCCUACUUCAGCAAUCUAACAUGCACGCACGUUAUGUAUCUGGUCUCAACUUGAACUGCUUGAAUUGAAUGAAGACCCCCGCUGGUUUGAGUUUGUUGCGUCACCAAAACAUUGACUGAGUUAAAGGUCCUGUAGAUCCUUGGCCACGCCCACCUCACCACCGUGACGUCAUCACAUGACAUCAACAGCAUGGUUCUCACGAGGACGGCCUAAUUGUGCGCCGGCAUUCCUAGCGAGUGUGAUUAAGACAUUACACAAGCACGCCGCUGGGACUCUGGGAGACAGGCCUGGCCUAAUGGAGUCCACACACUGGAACCAGGCUGGCGGGCGACUGCAGUAAACGCUGCUGUGGAGACCACAGGAGGCCCAUUAACUACCGAGACCGUUGCCUCUCCUGGUGAGAGGUUCCACUCUGGCCCGGGCUCGUCCUGGAAGGAAUAUCUGGUUACCCAAACAUCUCGUCUUCAACCCGGUGAUGCCAAGUUGUUCUGAAUAACUGCACUAACAGCACUGGGGCGGGUCCAAUGAGCUACUGUGUUUACAUCGUAAUGUUGCAUCCAUUGCGAUGAAAUAAAUGUAAUCUGCUGUGGAUAUGGGGAGUACAAGUCUAGAAAUGAAAAAGUGUGAAGGAAAACGCCUACAGCUCCCCCAUUUGAACCUUCAUUGGGGGAGGAUGUGUCUUGAGUGGCCGUAUACACUACUGUCCGAGGUUCUUAGUGGACAAAGUUAGAAGCUUAGUGCCCUGUAAGGUCAUUAGGGAAAUCAGCUGUUUCACACCAAGGGGCUGAAGUCUAAACGGCUUACAGGAAGUAGGAACAACGGAGCUUUAUCUCCUGGUGAUUCCACCAUGGUGAUCCAUUCUGAGGGGUUUGCUAAUCCAUGAAGUCAUUUAAUGGUUUAGUUAAUUAGUUGUUUGUUAACUCACGGAUACUUGUUGGACAUAUGUGUGUACAGACAAUGAUUGCUGCAAGUAUUCCAGAUGAUAAAGUCUUUGUUGACCAGAAAGUCUCGGGGUUAGGACAUUGUCUCUCAAUAUCCGCAAACUAGGUGUCCUUGGGCAGGAUGCCCUUAACUCUUCUUGCUCGGUAAUUUGCUGCAUUGUACAACUGUUUUUGUUCGAGAGAGAUUUAGUCCAUGGUAUUACAUUUCAAUUGAACUGUAUACAGGUCUCAAAUUGUAUUGUCCCUUAAAAAGGGAAAUUGGGCUUAUGAUAGUGGAUACUAUGUUGUAUUAACGAAAUGUUGGGCAGGGCAAACUACUGAAGUGGAACGAGAUCAUCCGUUAUGACAGGCUGCCUUAAAUCCAGGCCACUAAUGACAAGGAUAGGAUCACAUGGAUGAGACAAUGGCACUGUAGCCUAGUUAGCAUAACAGCUAGAGAGCACUGUAGCCAGUCCUCAUCAUCAAAUCCCCAUGGUUGUGGUUUGAAAGGAAAAAACAAGGCAACGAUUCACCUCUGCACACAUUUGUGAGAUGUAUCAUCUGCCUUGGCUUCAAAGUCCCUCUUUUCUGUGUC